AUAUAUAUGUUAAAGUGGUCCAUGAAAGACUCUGUAUGGGCAUUGGUCAUUUCUCUCUUCCUCCUUUACCCUCUCUCUCUCUCAAAAAACACACUGGCACAAGCUAUUGUGUCUUCUAUACAAGAAAGACACAAAGGGAUAUAUGUCAAAGAGAAUGAAAGUGAGAUCUGAGGAUUUUUUUUUUUUUUUUUUUUUUGCUGGUGAUGAAAUUUUGUGCAAGUCCUGGUCAUGCUUUUCCACAGCUUUCUUGAACUUCUUCUUUUUGCUUAUUCUCUAAGAUUAACACUUAUGGAAGCUCAAGAAAGCUGUGGGAGAACAUGGCAAGUUCAGGAUUUUGUGGGUGCAGCUAGCUGUUGUUGAAACUUGAGAGAGAGAGAGAGAGAGAGAGAGAGAGAGAGAGAGAGAGAGAGAGAGAGAGACUAGAUCUCUCUCACUCCCUUUGUAUCUACACCACAAUUCUCAAGGCGGCUUAAUUUCCUAAUAUUAUCUGCAUGUAUCAUGGUAAGAAUCAGAAUUCUCAUACAUGUCACUGCAGUUUCAUCAUGAUAUUUUUCUUUCAAUUUUGUUUACAUCUAAUAUAGGAUAAUUCACAUAAAGUCCAGAGCUUUCUUCAAGAAAAAACAAUUUUGACUCUGAUUUACAAUGUGGGUUUUUAUCUUCCUCAUGUUUCUUUACAGAAUUUAAUUUUCUUCCACACCUAUCGAAAAAAGAAGAAAGUAAAGAAUUUUAUUUUAUUCUUAGUUUAUAUUUCUUUGUUAACUUAAAUAUACUGCUACACGUUUGAACCAUGCAUGAAAGAAAGCAGAAAUUUUGUUAGAAAUUACAUAUAUAUUGCUGAAGAAGAAAUAUCUUUUUUUACUUACUAAACAGUGAAAAAAAAAAAACAAAAAACAAAAAACAAAAAAAAUAAUAAUGAGAGUUACGUUGCAGAGAAGAUUCCCUAGCUUUUCUUUUUAUCAUCAAUGAUGAUAGUUCUUCCUGUUGGCCUUUUGGUUUUUCCUCCACAUCUUCUCCUACAUUUCAGUGAAAAAGGUUAAACUUUGUCACUAUGUGACAUCAUUUUUUUAACCACUCCCGUCUCAUUCUGACUUUCAGUUUUUUUACCGCCUCCCCGGCCCCUCUUCUCUCUCUCACUGUCUAGAUCUCCUGCACCUGUUGUAACCUUAUGGAAUACGCAACAAUGUCUUAGGAACUGGAAUUGGGUUGUAAAACUGUGUUUCCCAGUGUAUUAUAGCUAGGCGUUUUUCUUGUUGAUAAAUUAUAACUCGCAAUAAUGUGUUAGGUACAAGAAUUGGGUUGUAACUGCGUUUCCAAGUGCAUUAUGGUUAGAUUUUUUUUUGCUUGAUGAAUUACAGCUAGCAACAAUGUAUUAGGCACAAGAAUUGGGUUUCAACUGCGUUUCCUAGUGCAUUAUAGCUAGAUUUUUUUUUUCUUGUUGAUUAAUUAUAGCUAGCAACAAUGUAUUAGGUACAAGAAUUGGGUUUUAACUGCGUUUCCAAGUGCAUCAUAGCUGGAAAUGUUUUUUUUUCUUGUUGAAUUAUAGCUAGAAAUAUAAUGAUUCCCUUGAUCUUUCUUUUUUACUUUUGCUUUCUUUCCCCUCAUAAUCUUGGGAUCUUCAAGAAUGGAAUAACUUUCUAAGAUCUCGAAUCAAACCCCAACUUAUACUACCUCAGCUAGGGCCUAAGAGGCUGUGCUUCCCUUGAUCUAGACACUAGCUAGCUAUAUGAAUGUUAUCAAAGACAGAAGUAAUUAAGUCACGAGAAUUUAUAAGCCUUGCUGCUGCAUUAAUUAUUGACUGGAUUAUUGCUAGUCUUUGUAAAAUACAUGUCCUUCUAGUUGAUGCAAUGUUUAAUUUUAUCUUCUUCUUGUUGUUAUUGUCACUAUCCAUGGCUAUAAUGAGAUGAAUGAUGCCGAGGUGCUGAAGAGAGUGGAAUGAAAUUUUGAUUCCUCAGAAGAUUAUGAGAUUCCAAAUUGUCCUUCUUUUCGCACGCAGUUGCAAAGAUGUACCCCUAUGAUCUUCAACAAUUCAUGAUAAGAUGAGGGCAGAAAAAAGCAAGCUACAUGCAAAAACCACGCUGAGAAUUUUCAGAAGGGCCAAAGAACUUUAAAGGUAGCUGUCUCACAAGCAUCCUUGUCUCAACCAACUUUUCUUUUUUUGUUUCUUCUGUGGAUUCAUCCAAUAAUCUUUCAACAAGUAAUGUGGGUAAUAAUAAAUAGUCACCAAUCACCAUCUUUGGCACGGUGGCACCACCAACGUUAAAAGCAUUGAUCUGCAAACAUCUGAGUCUAUAAAAUGAGCUACAGUAAAAAA